GAUGAACGCUGGCGGCGUGCCUAAUACAUGCAAGUCGAGCGAACGGACGAGAAGCUUGCUUCUCUGAUGUUAGCGGCGGACGGGUGAGUAGCACGUGGAUAACCUACCUAUAAGACUGGGAUAACUUCGGGAAACCGGAGCUAAUACCGGAUAAUAUUUUGAACCGCAUGGUUCAAAAGUGAAAGACGGUCUUGCUGUCACUUAUAGAUGGAUCCGCGCUGCACUAGCUAGUUGGUAAGGUAACGGCUUACCAAGGCAACGAUGCAUAGCCGACCUGAGAGGGUGAUCGGCCACACUGGAACUGAGACACGGUCCAGACUCCUACGGGAGGCAGCAGUAGGGAAUCUUCCGCAAUGGGCGAAAGCCUGACGGAGCAACGCCGCGUGAGUGAUGAAGGUCUUCGGAUCGUAAAACUCUGUUAUUAGGGAAGAACAUAUGUGUAAGUAACUGUGCACAUCUUGACGGUACCUAAUCAGAAAGCCACGGCUAACUACGUG
rnacentral:rRNA from 1 species